rnacentral:rRNA from 1 species
GCUGAAGGUACCGUAGGAAUAAGCAUCGGCUAACUCCGUGCCAGCAGCCGCGGUAAUACGGAGGAUGCAAGCGUUAUCCGGAUUCAUUGGGUUUAAAGGGUGCGUAGGCGGGACGGUAAGUCAGGGGUGAAAGCCAGCAGCUCAACUGUUGAAUUGCCUUUGAUACUGCCGUUCUUGAGUGUGGAUGAAGUGGGCGGAAUUUGGCAUGUAGCGGUGAAAUGCGUAGAUAUGCCAAAGAACACCGAUUGCGAAGGCAGCUCACUAAACCAUUACUGACGCUGAGGCACGAAAGCGUGGGGAGCAAACAGGAUUAGAUACCCUGGUAAUCCACGCCCUAAACGAUGAUCACUCGAUGUUGGCGAUAUACUGUCAGCGUCCAAGCGAAAGCGUUAAGUGAUCCACCUGGGAAGUACGAUCGCAAGGUUGUUGUCG